rnacentral:rRNA from 1 species
GACGAACGCUGGCGGCGUGCUUAACACAUGCAAGUCGAACGGAAAGGCCCUGUUUUUGUUGGGUGCUCGAGUGGCGAAGGGGUGAGAAACAAGUGAGUAACCUGCGCUUGAGGUUGGGAUAACUUCAAGAACCUGGGACUAAUACAGGAUACGAGCUCCUGAUGCAUGGUGGGGGUUGGAACGUUUCGGCGGGUGGGGAUGGACUCGCGGCUUACCAGCUUGUUGGUGGGGGAGUGGCUUAGCAGGGGAUUGGUGGGUAGCCGGCCUGAGAGGUUGACCGGCCACAUGGGUACUGAGAUACGCCCCAGACUCCAACGUUGGGCAGCGGGGGGAAAUAUGGCACAAUGGUGCGAAGCCUGUGGCGACAACGCCCCGGUCGGAAUGACGGCUUGCGGGUUGUAAACCGCUUUCGCCUGUUACGAAGCUUGAGUGACGGUAAUUGGAGAAGAAGCACCGGCUAACUACGUG